rnacentral:RNase_P_RNA from 1 species
CCAGACGGCCGGAUGGUCGCCUUCGGUACCCGGUUCACCGGGGCCGGGGGAGGAAAGUCCGGGCUCCACGGAAACACGGUGCCGGGUAACGCCCGGCGGGGGCAACCCUAGGGAAAGUGCCACAGAAAGCAAACCGCCGACUCACGGGAUCUCCCGUCGGUCGGCAAGGGUGAAAGGGUGCGGUAAGAGCGCACCGCGCGCCCGGCAACGGACGCGGCACGGUAAACCCCACCGGGAGCAAGACCAAGUAGGGGCGGCAGGCCGAAAGGCCGGGCGGGUUUCCGCGCCGCCGCCCGGGUAGGUCGCGCGAGGCGUCCGGCAACGGGCGUCCCAGAUGAAUGGCCAUCCCCCCGUGAAGGGGGACAGAACCCGGCUUACAGGCCGUCUGGCACU